UGUUAUGUAUUUUGUGAACGUUUAUCAUGAGUAAUUUAGUAAAUUCACCGGAAGUUUUCGGUGGGUAUGCUAAUUCUGAACAUCACAUACUAAUGUAAAAAGCUGUUUUUUGAUAUAAAUAUGAACUUGAUUGAACAAAACAUGCAUGUAUUGUAUAACAUAAUGUCCUAGGAGUGUUCCGCUAGCGGAACGUCUGUCCUCAACAGGUUUUAAUAUUGUAGUGGACAAAGAUGAGAAGAAUGUUUGUGUGACCAAAUGCAGGCUACUCAGCAACUCACUAUUCAGGUAGGAUGGAAAUUGUGAAGUUUAGGUCCAAAAAUGUGUAUUUCGUAUUUUAUAAUUUGUUUUAUUGUUAUUAUUAUUGUAUUUAAUUGUUAUUAUUGUAGGCCUAUUUGUUAAUCUAAAACAGUUUUUUAAAUAUGUAAAAUGAGACAUUUGUUGGCAAAAUUAAGUUAGAUUUGUAUUUUUAAUUGUGUGCUCCAUAUUUAGUUUAAGAUAGGCUAUAAGUAGGCCUGUUGUCAAAUAAAUAUCAUCAACCUAUUGCUAUCAUUUGUUGGGUAAGGUAUUUUCCCUAUAAACAAUGGCUUGACUUACUUUUGACAUUACCCUAAUAAUGUUGAAAACCUUUGAAGGUUUGGUGAGGAAAUGUUUUAGGCCUCCCAGAGUUACUCCUAUAAUCUAACAAUAUCAUGCUUAUCUUUAUAAAAAAUAUUCUAAUAGAAAAAUGUAAGAAUUCAUCCUUCUGUAUGCCUAUAGCAGAUGCAGCCCAUCUGAUAAGUUUAAAGAAAUUAAUAUCGGUGGCAUGCUGCCGGCAUAUCGCUCUCUCUCUUCUGGUGCUAGGCCUAAGCUUGGUCUUCCUUGAUCAUUUUUAAAAUGUAUAUAAUGCAGUGAACGCCUAAGCCUAUAGGGCUAGGCAUGCAAAUGCCCUGAUGCUCAAAUCUGUGACAGAGAGAAUAAAGUAGACGGCAUCGGUCAUUUAUGACCCUAUGUCCGGCUGGGGCGUACAUGCCCAAAUAAGGGCAUCCGGUCUGGACACGUGGUUAGGGUCAUAUAGUUUUAUCCUGUUCUGUCACGUGUUAGAGUGUGUGUUAUAUCUAUAUUGCAUCUCUUUGAAGUUGUCAUGAUGAUUGAUGUGUAGGGCCCUCAUUGAACUGGGGGGGUUGUGUUUGAACAUUUCAAAGAGGAUGACCCCACACCCCUCUAUUUUAUUGCUCUUAGGGUUGUUGUCUAUGAAUUAGGAAUGUCCGGGGGGUUAUGUGUUGGAGGCAGACGUCUUAUAAAUACGCCCCAGACACACAUGCGGACCUCAACAACACCUUGGUGCAUUUACGUCUCAAAGUGACCAAAAGAGAUGGUACUAAUAUUGCAAACGAUGCCAAAGUGAGUCUCAUUAAUUACCCCUUGGCCACCAUCUUCUCCCAAGUGGAUGUGACUUUGGGUGAACGUCUAAUCAGUCAAAGCAGUGCCACAUACCCCUAUAGGGCCAUCAUGGAGUGUUUACUCAACUACUCCGAAGACACUCUCAAGACACAAUUCAGUGCCGGGCUCUUUAGCAAGGAUACUGCAGGAGUCUCUAUGGAAUCGAUAGACCCUUCCACCGGUGCAAACAAAGGACUGGAGGCACGCGCUCGCUACUGUGCCGAAUCUCGAGAGUUUCAUCUGCUAGGGCCUAUACACUCUGACAUUUUCUUUCAAGAACGUUUACUCUUAAAUUCGGUUGAUUUAAGACUCAAAUUAACCAGGGCCAAGGAUGAGUUUUGUCUGAUGUCUGCCCAAGACGGUGACUUUAGUUUAAAAGUGUUGGGGGCAACGCUUUUUAUUAAAAAAGUGUCUGUAUCUCCGGCAGUUCAUCUGGGUCACACAGGCUUUGAUGAAAGGAAAUGCCCUUUACCCUCUCCAAAGAAUUACCAUGAAAACCUUUAGCAUACCUGUGGGCAGUGGAAUCUGCAGUCAAGAAAACCUUUUUCUAGGCCCUUUACCCCGCUAUGUGGUUAUAGGUUUGGUUGAUCACGCCUCUAAUACGGGCAGCUUACAUAAAAACCCAUUUAAUUUUCAACACUUCAAUGCAGAGUAUGUAGCUCUCUGUCAGGAUGGACGUCAGGUCCCUGCUAAGGCUUUCCAACCGCAAUUUAAUAACAACAUAUCUGUGCGAGAAUUUUACAAUCUAUUCCUGGCUACCGGGAGGCAUCUAAAAGAUCUCUCUUUACCAAUUGACAGAAAUGAUUUUGCAGAGGGUUACACAUUGUAUGCUUUCAAUUUAUCCCCUGAUGAUGACACCUCAGGAAAUCUGUCUGUGGUGUCCCAAGGUAACCUCAGGCUGGAAAUAUGUUUCCGUACACCUUUAGCCUGUACAGUUAGCAUGAUUGUUUAUGCGUGCUCUGAUUCAAUCUUGGAAGUGAAUGCCCGAAGACAGGUCUUAGUGGAUUAUUAUUAAGGACUGUUGAGCAAAGACAUGAAUACCCAAGAGUUGGAAGGGCUCAUGACCCGCUUGAUUGGAAAACAAUUUUAUGGAGUGUGGGCUUGUGAUGAAUUACCUAUGGAGAAAUGGCCUGAGCGGUCAGUCAUGUUUAUUGUCAAUACCCAUCCUAAACACAUGCCAGGUGAACACUGGCUAGCUGUGACACUAGAAGAUGAAGGAGGAAGAAAAAUCUCAACUUUUUUUUAUUCCUACGGCUUUCCCCCUGGUUUUUCAAAUUUUCCCAAAUCUAUUAAAGAUUUUUUGACCAAAAACGGAUCAAAGAUCUACUACAGCAUCAAACAAGUGCAAGAUAACCUUUCCACUACAUGUGGUCAACACUGUGUAUUCUACCUGUGCCAAAGAGCCCGUGGAGUUUCUUUUGAAGAUGUUAUGUCUCUUUAUAAUGAUGAUUUAAGAAGUAAUGAUAGCGUCGUAGAUUGUUUUGUUAGAAAAUAUCAAAAGUGUUCAAAUAUGUGUCCUUUAAGACCGUGUAAUCAAGGCGUAUGCUCACGUCAAAUGUUUCAAGAAUGCCACAAAUGUUAAAUUGCUUAAUUUUUCUAAUAAACUUUAUUGAAUUUAAUCAUAGUCGUUCAAAAGUCAUUCAAAAUUCAUUCAAAAGUCUAACCACCCCGAGAGAUCGGGAUUAGGAAAAGGUCCAGAGGCG
rnacentral:lncRNA from 1 species